CGACAGAGGUAGGACUUGAACCUACAAGACACCAAGUGUCGAUAGCUUUCUAGACUAUUGCCUUACCAUUAGACUACUCUGCC
rnacentral:tRNA from 1 species